UUCGUUCACAACGUGUACAUUUGGCUCCGCCCUUAAGGGGUUAAUAUACAUUAAUGCCUGUGUUUAGCAACAAAGGCAAAUAGCCAAAUAAUGCAAGUUCUUUACACCUACCACACAUUUUCUUGUAAGACUACAUCUAUGCAGUUUAUCUGAUUUUAACAUUGUAUCUUCACUUAAUCGAAUCUUGCUAGUUGAAUAAUGUUUUAACGUAAGAAGAAUUUGUGACAUAUUUUAUUAACU